AGCCUAUGAUGACUAAUUUGCUACUCUUGAUUAAUUAUGAUGAAAAUUCCUACCACCUUUUGAUUUCUGAGGCU
rnacentral:snoRNA from 1 species